GAUAGCUCAGUUGGUUAGAGCAUGCUGCUGAUAAUGACAAGAUUGCAGGUUAAAUCCCAGUAAGGGACA